AACAAACGCUGGCGGCGUGCAUAACACAUGCAAGUCUAACGGGAAAGUCGGCUUCGGCUGGCAAGUACCGUGGCGAACGGGUGAGUAACACGUGGGUAAUCUAACCUCGAGUUUGGGAUAACCCUGCGAAAGCGGGGCUAAUACCGAAUAAGUCCACGCCCUGCACGCAGGGUGCGGUAAAAGGUGGCCUCUUCCUGAAAGCUAUCACUUGAGGAUGAGCCCGCGGCCUAUUAGCUAGUUGGUAGGGUAACGGCCUACCAAGGCGACGAUGGGUAGCCGGGCUGAGAGGGUGUACGGCCACACUGGCACUGAGAUACGGGCCAGACUCCUACGGGAGGCAGCAGUGGGGAAUUUUGCGCAAUGGGGGAAACCCUGACGCAGCAACGCCGCGUGAGUGAUGAAGGCCUUCGGGUCGUAAAGCUCUUUUAGUGGGGAAGAAGCCCUCCAGGGCUAAUACCUCUGGGGUCUGACGGUACCCACAGAAAAAGUUCCGGCUAACUACGUGCCAGCAGCCGCCGUAAUAC
rnacentral:rRNA from 1 species